rnacentral:lncRNA from 1 species
GGCAGGGGUGAAUUUGACUAAUGAAGAACAUGAGUUCUGAAACCCUGUCUUGUUGUUCAAAAAUAGGUAUGGAAAUGUGGUGGAUGUUCUUUCUAAGAGAAAAACCUACAUCAUUAAGAAAGCCAGAGUCUAUACACUUAGGGUAGUCCCAGCAGAGGCAUAUGGGAUAUACAUUCCAGGCUGAGGAAGAGUUCCUUUCUAUCUAGGAAAAUACCGAGCAGCAUCACAGCAAAUGUGAUGAUUCUGUUGACAGAAAAAUGAGCAAACACCUAGCAACUUGUAUACAGUUGUAUACCCGCAAAG